UACGUAGGGUGCGAGCGUUAAUCGGAAUUACUGGGCGUAAAGCGUGCGCAGGCGGUUUUGUAAGUCAGAUGUGAAAUCCCCGGGCUUAACCUGGGAAUGGCAUUUGGGACUGCAAGGCUCGAGUGCGGCAGAGGAGACUGGAAUUCCUGGUGUAGCAGUGAAAUGCGUAGAUAUGUGGAGGAACACCGAUGGCGAAGGCAGCCCCCUGGGAUAACACUGACGCUCAUGCACGAAAGCGUGGGGAGCAAACAGG
rnacentral:rRNA from 1 species